GACGAACGCUGGCGGCGUGCCUAAUAAAUGACAGUAGAACGCUGAAGGAGGAGCUUGCUUCUAUGGAUGAGUUGCGAACGGGUGAGUAACGCGUAGGUAACCUGCCUGGUAGCGGGGGAUAACUAUUGGAAACGAUAGCUAAUACCGCAUACGAGUAGAUGAUGCAUGACAUUUGCUUAAAAGGUGCAAUUGCAUCACUACCAGAUGGACCUGCGUUGUAUUAGCUAGGUGGUGGGGUAACGGCUCACCAAGGCGACGAUACAUAGCCGACCUGAGAGGGUGGACAGCCACACUGGGACUGGGACACGGCCCAGACUCCUUCGGGAGGCAGCAGGAGGGGAUCUUCGGCAAUGGACGGAAGUCUUGCCGAACAACGCCGCGUUAGUGAAGAAAGUUUUCGGAUCGUAAAGCUCUGUUGUGAGGGAAGAACGAGUGUGAGAGUGGAAAGUUCACGCUGUGACGGUAUCUUACCAGAAAGGGACGGCUAACUACGUG
rnacentral:rRNA from 1 species